rnacentral:rRNA from 1 species
UACGAAGGGGGCUAGCGUUGCUCGGAAUGACUGGGCGUAAAGGGCGCGUAGGCGGCUUGCACAGUCAGGCGUGAAAUUCCUGGGCUCAACCUGGGGACUGCGCUUGAGACGUGUGGGCUUGAGUGGGGAAGAGGGUCGUGGAAUUCCCAGUGUAGAGGUGAAAUUCGUAGAUAUUGGGAAGAACACCAGUGGCGAAGGCGGCGACCUGGUCCUUGACUGACGCUGAGGCGCGAAAGCGUGGGGAGCAAACAGG